UACGUAGGUGGCAAGCGUUGUCCGGAUUUAUUGGGCGUAAAGCGCGCGCAGGCGGUCUUUUAAGUCUGAUGUGAAAUCUCGCGGCUCAACCGCGAGCGGUCAUUGGAAACUGGGGGACUUGAGUGCAGAAGAGAAGAGCGGAAUUCCACGUGUAGCGGUGAAAUGCGUAGAGAUGUGGAGGAACACCAGUGGCGAAGGCGGCUCUUUGGUCUGUAACUGACGCUGAGGCGCGAAAGCGUGGGGAGCAAACAGG
rnacentral:rRNA from 1 species